CCUAUCCAGAGGAUAGGCUAUCAAUAUCAGAUUGGUGGGGGUGUGACACCCUGCAUCCCCACCGAUCAGCUGGAAACUAUACAGUAGAUGGAGCAAUAAGCAGAAGGCCAAGUCCACUGUGUAGUGACUGUGCCAGGGUACCGCACGGAACCUGCCAUCCACUGUAUAGUUUCCGGCGUAGAGGGCUGCACAAAACAGCAGCUCAGUGGGGGUGCCAGGUGUUGAACCCCCACCAAUCUGAUAUAGAUGACCUACCUGGGAGGACAGGUCCUCAUUGCCUAAGAACCAGAAAACCCCUUUAAAUCUGAGACAUACGUAGGUACACUUUAGAUUUUUAUGGGGGCUGUAUUAUGGCUGUGUACUAGAGAUUCAUAAAAAAAAACAUGCAUAAGGCAGAAAACUAAGAAUGAUCUGCCGCUGAAUAGUACUACAAUAUAUGUAAAAUGCUUACACAUAAUCAACCACAAAAGAAAAAAAUACUGACAGUCAAUAAAUAAGUGCAUAAGUAACAAAGUGUUCGCUAAUAAUUUAUAAAGAACCUGACAGCUAGCUGUCAAUGUGGUCAUACAUUUCCAGGAGGAAUAACACAGGAAUGGCACAAUGCAGAUUUCCAAGUAAAGAAGCUCCAGAACUAUUAUUUCAUGGAGCUCUUCAACACCUCAUGUCAUGCACUUAAGGGAGUUUUCCUGGAGUGGAUUACUGACGACUUAUCCUCAGGAGCAAUUUAUGUCACGUUCAUCGGUCACAUGGCUUAGUUGCAGCUCAGCCCCAUUCAAGUGAACGGGCCUGGGUUGCCAUACCAAGCGCAU